GACGAACGCUGGCGGCGUGCCUAAUACAUGCAAGUCGAGCGGACUUAAAAAGCUUGCUUUUUAAGUUAGCGGCGGACGGGUGAGUAACACGUGGGCAACCUGCCUGUAAGACUGGGAUAACUUCGGGAAACCGGAGCUAAUACCGGAUAAUCCUUUUCUACUCAUGUAGAAAAGCUGAAAGACGGUUUACGCUGUCACUUACAGAUGGGCCCGCGGCGCAUUAGCUAGUUGGUGAGGUAACGGCUCACCAAGGCGACGAUGCGUAGCCGACCUGAGAGGGUGAUCGGCCACACUGGGACUGAGACACGGCCCAGACUCCUACGGGAGGCAGCAGUAGGGAAUCUUCCGCAAUGGACGAAAGUCUGACGGAGCAACGCCGCGUGAGUGAUGAAGGUUUUCGGAUCGUAAAACUCUGUUGUUAGGGAAGAACAAGUACGAGAGUAACUGCUCGCACCUUGACGGUACCUAACCAGAAAGCCACGGCUAACUACGUG
rnacentral:rRNA from 1 species